rfam:Drosophila mojavensis strain TSC#15081-1352.22 Ctg01_10700, whole genome shotgun sequence.
CAACUUCCAGGUGAGUUUGAAAUUGAAAUGUGUAAAUUGUUUGGUACAAUUUAAAUUCGAUUUCUUAUUCAUAGGUGC